rnacentral:rRNA from 1 species
ACCCAAUAGAUACCCUGGUAGUCCUAGCUGUAAACGAUGAGCACUAGAUUGUGGGGGCUUCCACACCCUCUCAGUCGUAGCGAAAGUGUUAAGUGCUCCGCCUGGGGAGUAUGGUCGCAAGGCUGAAACUCAAAGGGGAUUGACGGGGGCUCACACAAGCGGUGGAGGAUGUGGCUUAAUUCGAGGCUACGCGAAGAACCUUAUCCUAGUCUUGACAUGCUUAAGAACCCUCCUGAAAGGGAGGGGUGCCUUUCGGGGAGCUUUUGCACAGGUGCUGCAUGGCUGCCGUCAGCUCGUGUCGUGAGAUGUCGGGUUAAGUCCCUUAACGAGCGAAACCCUUGUCUCUAGUUGCCAGCGGGUAAAGCCGGGGACUCUAGAGGGACUGCCGGUGUUAAACCGGAGGAAGGUGGGGAUGACGUCAAGUCCUCAUGGCCUUUAUGACUAGGGCCGCACACGUCCUACAAUGCACUGUACAAAGGGAAGCAACCCCGCGAGAGUAAGCAAAUCCCAAAAAGCAGUGCUCAGUUCGGAUUGCAGGCUGC